rnacentral:tRNA from 1 species
GACUUAAUGGUCCGAUGGUAAAGCGCUCGUCUCAGAGCUAGAGGGUUCUGGGUUCGAUCCCCAACGAGGUCG